rnacentral:rRNA from 1 species
UACGUAGGAUGCAAGCAUUAUCCGGAAUUAUUGGGCGUAAAGCGUCCGUAGGUGGCUAUUCAAGUCAGUUGUUAAAGCGUGGGGCUUAACUCCAUAAAGGCAAAUGAAACUGAUUAGCUAGAGUGCGAUAGGGGCAAGGGGAAUUUCCAGUGUAGCGGUGAAAUGCGUAGAUAUUGGAAAGAACACCGGUGGCGAAAGCGCCUUGCUGGGUCUGCACUGACACUGAGGGACGAAAGCUAGGGGAGCGAAAGGG